rnacentral:rRNA from 1 species
AACGAACGCUGGCGGCAUGCCUAACACAUGCAAGUCGAACGAGACCUUCGGGUCUAGUGGCGCACGGGUGCGUAACGCGUGGGAACCUGCCCUUAGGUUCGGAAUAACUCCCCGAAAGGGGUGCUAAUACCGGAUAAUGUCUUCGGACCAAAGAUUUAUCGCCUUUGGAUGGGCCCGCGUUGGAUUAGCUAGUUGGUAGGGUAAAAGCCUACCAAGGCGACGAUCCAUAGCUGGUCUGAGAGGAUGAUCAGCCACACUGGGACUGAGACACGGCCCAGACUCCUACGGGAGGCAGCAGUGGGGAAUAUGGGACAAUGGGCGAAAGCCUGCUCCAGCAAUGCCGCGUGAAUGAUGAAGGCCGUAGGGUUGUAAAGCUCUGUUACCCGGGAUGAUAAUGACAGUACCGGGAGAAUAAGCUCCGGCUAACUCCGU